AGAGUUUGAUCCUGGCUCAGGAUGAACGCUAGCGGCAGGCUUAACACAUGCAAGUCGAGGGGCAGCGGGGAGGAAGCUUGCUUUCUCCGCCGGCGACCGGCGCACGGGUGAGUAACACGUAUGCAACCUGCCCCUGUCAGGGGGACAACCCGCCGAAAGGCGGGCUAAACCCGCGUACAUGCCACCGGGGCAUCCCGGAGGCAGGAAAGGCUUCGGCCGGACAGGGAUGGGCAUGCGGCGCAUUAGGCAGUAGGCGGGGUAACGGCCCACCUAACCGACGAUGCGUAGGGGUUCUGAGAGGAAGGUCCCCCACACUGGUACUGAGACACGGACCAGACUCCUACGGGAGGCAGCAGUGAGGAAUAUUGGUCAAUGGUCGGGAGACUGAACCAGCCAAGCCGCGUGAGGGAGGAAGGUACAGAGUAUCGUAAACCUCUUUUGUCAGGGAACAAAGGCGGGGACGUGUCCCCGGAUGAGUGUACCUGAAGAAAAAGCAUCGGCUAACUCCGUGCCAGCAGCCGCGGUAAUACGGAGGAUGCGAGCGUUAUCCGGAUUUAUUGGGUUUAAAGGGUGCGCAGGCGGUCUGUUAAGUCAGCGGUCAAAGCCCGGGGCUCAACCCCGGCCCGCCGUUGAAACUGGCAGUCUCGAGUUGGAGAGAAGUAUGCGGAAUGCGCGGUGUAGCGGUGAAAUGCAUAGAUAUCGCGCAGAACUCCGAUUGCGAAGGCAGCAUGCCGGCUCCACACUGACGCUGAGGCACGAAAGCGUGGGUAUCGAACAGGAUUAGAUACCCUGGUAGUCCACGCAGUAAACGAUGAAUGCUGGCUGUCCGGGGGGAUUGACCCCUGGGUGGCGAAGCGAAAGCGAUAAGCAUUCCACCUGGGGAGUACGCCGGCAACGGUGAAACUCAAAGGAAUUGACGGGGGCCCGCACAAGCGGAGGAACAUGUGGUUUAAUUCGAUGAUACGCGAGGAACCUUACCCGGGCUCAAACGGGGAGUGACUCAGGCAGAGACGCCUGUUUCCCACGGGACACUCCCCGAGGUGCUGCAUGGUUGUCGUCAGCUCGUGCCGUGAGGUGUCGGCUUAAGUGCCAUAACGAGCGCAACCCCCGCGUGCAGUUGCUAACAGAUAACGCUGAGGACUCUGCACGGACUGCCGGCGCAAGCCGCGAGGAAGGCGGGGAUGACGUCAAAUCAGCACGGCCCUUACGUCCGGGGCGACACACGUGUUACAAUGGGUGGUACAGCGGGAAGCCAGGCGGCGACGCCGAGCGGAACCCGAAAUCCACUCUCAGUUCGGAUCGGAGUCUGCAACCCGACUCCGUGAAGCUGGAUUCGCUAGUAAUCGCGCAUCAGCCAUGGCGCGGUGAAUACGUUCCCGGGCCUUGCACUCACCGCCCGUCA
rnacentral:rRNA from 1 species